rnacentral:rRNA from 1 species
AUUGAACGCUGGCGGCAGGCCUAACACAUGCAAGUCGAGCGAGUGGCGGACGGGUGAGUAAUGUCUGGGGAUCUGCCCGGUAGGGGGGGAUAACUACUGGAAACGGUAGCUAAUACCGCAUACUAUCGGGUGAACCCAUAUGGGAUUAGCGAGUAGGUGGGGUAACGGCUCCCCUAGGCGACGCUCUCUAGCUUGUCUGAGAGGAUGAUCAGCCAAACUGUGACUGAGACACGGUCCAGACGCCUACGGGAGGCAGAAGUGGGGAAUAUUGCACAAUGGGCGCAAGCCUGAUGCAGCCAUGCCGCGUGUAUGAAGAAGGCCUUCGGGGUGUAAAGUACUUUCAGCGGGGAGGCGUUACCCGCAGAAGAAGCACCGGCUAACUCCGUGCCAGCAGCCGCGGUAAUAC